UAAUCCCAAAGAGCCUUAUCAUACACUAAAACACAUACUUCAACUCAACUCUAACCUAAAACGAAACCUCAAAGAAAUUGAAAUCCAACCUUCGCUAAUACCUAUCUUAGAAAAUCGAUCUUGAGAGAAAUUGAAAACGAAACUUCAUAAAAUCUUGAGAGAAAUGGAAAACGAAACCGCAGAGAAUCGCUCUUGAGCAAGGUCUCAUGAAUCUCGUCAUUUCCUCUUUCAACUCAGGGAAUUACCCUAACUCUAUAUUCUAAUUUUCUCACAACGAUCUGAACUCUCGCAAUUGCAACCACCGAUCGAAUCUUCGAACCCUAGCUUGUAUUUCCCCCUUUCAUCUCAGGUAAACUUGUGGGAUUUUAAUCAGUUGUUAGGAAAACGCUUACAAAUAGGAAGGGCGCAGUUAGGUUAGUUCUUAAUGGCUGCUACAUCUGGGAUAGCUGAAGAGGAAACACAAGUGUCUUCUAGUGACGAGAUCGAUCCAAGGCUGGAUGUCUAUGUGUGGGACAUGGAUGAGACCUUUAUACUACUCUCCUUGCUGAAAUCAUCCUAUGCCGAGGCUUGGGAGGAUGUGGGAAAAUCUCUUUCUGCAAGUGUGAUGAUAAUUUCUUCUAUGAUCAAGAUCUCAGCAAACCUUACCUUUUAUACGGCUAAAUCUACGGUUUCAGUUCACUUCGCUUGAUGCAGAAGCACGACUCAAGGAUAAGAGGAUUUGAUGAAGUGUUUGGUUCUUAUUGAGAAGAAUGAGAGUUGCAGUGGUUGGUGCUGGGAUUAGUGGUUUGGUUUCAGCUUAUGUAUUGGCCAAAGCUGGAGUGAAUGUGGUUCUCUAUGAGAAGGAAGAUUACUUGGGAGGUCAUGCAAAAACUGUUAAUGCUGGUGGUGUUGAUUUGGACCUUGGUUUCAUGGUCUUCAACAGGGUAAUAAUCUAAUUCAUUUUCAUCACAUUUCUAAUUACUUGUUCUUCUUGUUAAUUAAAUGCUCUACUACUUCAAUUCUUCAUAAUUCAUUUUGGUUUUGCUUAGUGAAGAUUGAACUAAAAAUAAUAAUCUUAGCUUUAACAUUAUCCAAAACAGUGAAAAGGGAAGUACUUUUUCAUCUUGAUAUAUAAGUUGUGAAAAGAGUUAUUAUUAUUUUAAUAGUUCUAUUUUGUUCUCUUAUUUAAGUAGGUGUUGAUUAACACUUAACAUGAGAAUUAGACAAGUUUUGAUUCGGUUUUCAUUAGUGGCAGGUAGCAUUAACAGAAUAAUUUUUAGGAUAUAUAACCUAAUUCCCUAAUAAAAAAUGAAAUUAAAAAGUGUAGCUUUUUGCCAAAAUUAUGUUAGCUCUUCUUCUAAACACUAUAUACCAAAUUAAAAUUAUGAUUUUAUUAAGAUAUUUUUUGGACCAAUAAGAACCAGAGAAUUUAAAUCCAUAGCAAAAGUUGGCAUGUGGGCCCCACCAGUGGUCCUAACGUGACAGUUGCUUCAUGCUAAAUGUAGCAUUCUCUGGCUAAAAUAUUUUGGUUAAGAUGAUGUUACUAAGGCAGUGAGAGCAUGAAUUGUUGCUUUUUUUUUUUACUAUCUAGCUUGGAUAUAUGGCAGGUUAUUAUUGAUUCAUAACCUUUGACAGUGGUUGUACUUGCAGCUUUGUUAUUUGGUGAGUCCAUUGGAAUUAUCCGUGAAUGUUUUGCGCGACCAUCAGUGUUGUUAAAUAUCGGUUAUAUCGCCGAUAUACCGGUUUUUCAUAUCGGAAUUUGCCUAUCCGAUAUUCCGUUUCAAUUUCGCGACGCUCCGCAUUUCAUCCGUUUUCUAGUAUACCGGUAUACCGGUUUUGAAGUUCAUAUCAGAAUUUAUAUUUUUCUGAUCAUUUUUUUAAUAAGUUAUAUUAAAAAAUAAUUGAAAUAUUGAAUGUGAAGAGGUGGAUGGAAAAAGUAGGCUACGAAGAGGUGGAGAAGUGGCCAGUAAUAUUAGUAAGUAGGCUGUGAAGUGUGAAGAGGUGCAGACUAAUCAAGUGAAAAUGUGAAGAGGUAAAGUAAUACUCCCUCCGUCUCAAAAUUGCAAAGAGGACACCUAUUGUGAGACGGAGGGAGUAAUAAAGUGGAGAGCUGUAUGAAUAUUAAAAUAAUCUUGGUAGUCUCGAAAAUAGAAGUGAAUGUGAAGAGGUGUAUUAAUUGGUGUGAUUAUAUGUAGGACUAAUAGGAGUCAUAGUCCAUCACCAUAAAUUUCUCUUCACUAUUUUCUUUCUUCACAUUCAUUCUUCCUGGUCAUUCAUCUCUUCUAGAUAAUUCUUAUAUCUUUUCUGUUUUCUUCUCAAUUUUGUUUUUUGGUUUCAUUUCUUCUAGUUUUCUCAAACUAGUUUCUUUUCAUUCCAUUCCAUUGGGUUCUCUGUAUUCAAGUCCUUAAACCCUCUGUUUUUAUACAUUUGUUAUAGUAUGGAAAGUGGCGGUGAAGCAUCAAAACUUUUUUAAUAAUUGUUUAUGUUAGUAGCUUUUAUAUGUGUUUCAUGUUUUAUUUUAUAUAUAAAUAUUUAUUUUAACCGCCUUUAUGGUUUCCGCUAUUUGCCCGUUACGAUAUCUGAUAUUUCUCAUAUCGGGUUUUUGGUGAUCCGAUAUUUUCCGCGAUCCGAUAUUAACAACACUGGCGACCAUUAUUGUCUCAAAUUUCGUUAUCUCCGCAAUAUUUUCUGUUCAUUAUUUUUAUAUACAUUUUCAGUAAAAACUUGACACAGUUUGAAGAAGAGAGUGAAGUUGAAGAAGCUUCUGAGGAAUGAUAAUGAAGCUGAUUCUCAUAAUAACGUUUUCUUUUGUUGUCUCAGUGAUUAGAUCUGAGACUGAGACUGAGAGUUUUUCACCUCUGUAUAUGUUGGAAAACGAUGUCUUUUCAGCUCAAGUGUCUUCUUCUCAACCUGAUCAAUCUCUCAUGG